rnacentral:piRNA from 1 species
UAGUUCACAGUUUUGUGUAGAGGAGAUGC